CAUCUACCAUUCUUGCUGCUCUCAAGUAUGGACGCUGUUCAUCCACCGUGGAGGUGGAGGUACGGCUUCUCCGGUUUUGGGAAGCCAGAAACAUUAAACGUGGUGGCCACUUCAUGGGAGUAGAUAUGCUUCUUCUGGAUUCUAAGGCGAUGCUGAUACCCGCCACCAUCAACGUGAACCGUCUUCCCACCUACCGGGGACACUUGAAGGUAGAUACCCGCUACAAGAUCGUUUAGGGUACUGUUAUACGAGCUGCAAAUCCAGCACAAACCUCGAGUUCAGAAGAUUCCUCACAAGAGCUAUCAAGUCCAGAAGAUUCCACCGAGUCGCAAGAUCUACCAAGUACGCCUUUGACAUCAGAAAAUAGUCUUGAGAAAGCAGAGUCUGCAGCAAAAGCUCUUGCAGUUGCUGAUUCCAAAGUGUUCGAAGCCAAAGAGGCAUCCCAAGUUGCAGAUACGGGCCCAAAGAAGUCUCUGGCCGAUGUGCUAAAAGGCGAAACUGUUGAACUACGGUAGAGCUUUAUACCUUGUGGUCCGGUUCAAUGUAGAUGUAAAGGACUGUUUUUUUAAUAGGUUUUGGCUUUGAGAACAAAAAUAAAGAGUACAUGUAUAUGAUAUUUCAUUGACUAUUGACAUUGUCACUUUCUGGUUAGUUUUUGAUGUUAAGUACGGUUCUGGAUGUUAAUA